rnacentral:sRNA from 1 species
GUCAACUACUCCCACUUUAUAGAAGUGGGAGCUUGUAAAAGCUCGGUUGACUAGACUAAGCAUUUAUUUGCUCCGUUAUAUUUGAUAUAGACACCAUAGAAUGAUACCCUAGUUC